CUGCUGCACAGAGACGCCAGCUUUCGGUGCCUCCGCUCUGGUUCACACACGUUCACACCCCCGAGGGCCGGGGGAGAGGCGUCCGCGCGAUAUCGGUAUUGAGAUUAAUAACAAGGUGCGGAGAGUGCGAGAAGGAGGAGGGUUGAUUGACGUGGAGGGGCUGGCGAGAGUCAGUCACUCCCCGGCGCGGAGGGGUGGGGUGAGGGGAAGGAGGCGGAGCUCCAGCGCCGCGCCUUGGCCCCGCCCCCGGGGCGCCGCGCAGGAUCAUAGUGCGCGUGCGCGCGCGGCUGCCAGGGUUCUUGCCCUUUUUCUCCUGUUCCCUUGCCGGAUUCUUGCUUUUCUUGGCUUGAGUGACGAGCAGUGGGUUAUCACAAAGCCACAGAGGCACGGGGCGGGGGAGGAUGGAGAAAAGACUGGCGAUCCCACCUCAACCGGUGCUCGUGCGUGGACGCGGCGCUGUUUACUGCACGCUCGCCGGAGGCAGCCUGGCCCCAAAGCCGAACCCUGGUCUGGGUAGCUAAUCGGACGCCAGGAUGACUGUGGAUGACACCAAGGACCAUCCCACUCUCUUGGCCAAAGAUAAACAUUUCCCACCAUUUUUAACAGUGUGCCUUUGAUAAGCUAGUCCUGGAUAAAAUGACAAGGUAGGCAAAGUUCAUCGUGCUGUCCUCCUGCUUCUUCUUCCUACACUCCCAGUCUCAGGUUCCUGGAUGCCUGAACAUUCAGAAUCUCCACCUCAACCCCAUCAACAUCAGCACCACUCUUCCUAGUACUUUCCCGUAUUCCAGAAAUGUUCUACUGGGUAAGUACCACCACCAUCAAUAAAUAUCUAGUGUUUCAAUUUUUCAAGGAUCUGGAGACACCUGGCAUGCUAUCCAAUCAAUAAAAUCAGUUAUUUUCAUGUGGUACUCCAAUGAUCUUCAUGAGGUCUUCAGAGGUACGCAUCCCAAGCCGCCCAGUGUACACAGAGGGGACCGGGGAGGUGGGAUCUCAACUAGAAACCUUCGUUUUUAUCUGUUUUACAUAUUGACCAUCUAAUUGACUGCCUGGUAACUUCCCUUUUUCUGUAAACAAUGCUCCUUUCCUUGGAGGGAACUAUUCCUGCCUAUACUAUAAACAGGUGAUUCUAGGGACAGUUGCACCUCAAGAGAAUCCCCCAACUUCUUGACUACAGUGUGGGCAUAUAACUCAAGCCAAAGCAAGCAGAAUUAUCCCCCAGAAUGUUUUCAGGUGGAAUGAAGGGAAGAAGGGCUUGUCCACCAUAGCAGUAGUCGGAGAUGAGAAAGAAAGAUGGAAGUCUUGAGAGUGGCCAGUGGCUGCAUACUGCCUUGUGUGGAAUGAAUCCGUCACACAGGAAGUGUAGAGAGUAAGUCCUGGUGGUGCACUAGUCUCAGGUUCCAGUCAUCCAUGUAGUUCAGCUGCACCUUGUCACAAAAUAUGCUUAAAUUAACUAGUAAAUUCUCUUCUAUGUCUAAGGUAACUUGAGUUAGAACUCUGCAACCAAAACAUCCUAAUACGUUGUGUUUCUGCAUGAAGGGUCUUUCAAAGAAGCCUAACUGCUGCUAAAUAAGUUUGAAAACCACUGAACUGAACUACCGGCAACCUGCAGUUCUGUGCAGCAAGCAAGAGCUAGGGAUUGAAAUCAAAGAAAGACUAUAUGACAUCAACCCAGGCCUCACACUGAAAUGUGAAUCUGUUAAUAAAGUUAUAGUCAGUUGCUACAGGGAUGAUUUUCAGAUGAGAAAUUUCCAUGAAAUUCCAAAUUUCCAAAAGAAUAGAGAUG